rnacentral:rRNA from 1 species
UACGUAGGAGACGAGCGUUGUCCGGAAUUAUUGGGCGUAAAGCGCGCGCAGGCGGCCUUGUAAGUCUGUCGUUUAAACUCGGAGCUCAACUUCGAGUCGCGAUGGAAACUGCAAAGCUUGAGUGCAGAAGAGGAAAGUGGAAUUCCACGUGUAGCGGUGAAAUGCGUAGAGAUGUGGAGGAACACCAGUGGCGAAGGCGACUUCUGGGCUGUAACUGACGCUGAGGCGCGAAAGCGUGGGGAGCAAACAGG